CCUACGGGUGGCUGCAGGGGGGAAUAUUGCACAAUGGGGGAAACCCGGAUGCAGCGACGCCGCGUGAAGGAAGAAGUAUUUCGGUAGGUAAACGUCUAUCAGCAGGGAAGAAAAUGACGGUACCGGACGAAGAAGCCCCGGCUAACUACGGGCCAGCAGCCGCGGUAAUACGUAGGGGGCAAGCGUUAUCCGGAUUUACUGGGUGUCAAGGGAGCGUAGGCGGCGAUGCAAGUCAGAAGUGAAAGCCCGGGGCUCAACUCCGGGACUGCUUUUGAAACUGUGUUGCUAGAUUGCAGGAGAGGUACGUGGCCUUCCUCGUGUAGCGGUGAAAUGCGUCGAUAUUCGGAGGCACCCCAGUGGCGCAGGCGGCUUACUGGACUGUAACUGACGCUGAGGCUCGACAGCGUGGGGAGCAAACAGGAUUAGAUACCCGUGUAGUC
rnacentral:rRNA from 1 species